rnacentral:rRNA from 1 species
UACGUAGGGUGCAAGCGUUGUCCGGAUUUAUUGGGCGUAAAGAGCUCGUAGGCGGUUUGUCGCGUCGAAUGUGAAAACCCGGGGCUCAACCCCGGGCCUGCAUUCGAUACGGGCAGACUAGAGUUCGGUAGGGGAGUCUGGAAUUCCUGGUGUAGCGGUGAAAUGCGCAGAUAUCAGGAGGAACACCGGUGGCGAAGGCGGGACUCUGGGCCGAUACUGACGCUGAAGCACGAAAGCGUGGGGAGCAAACAGG